GCCAGACUCCUACGGGAGGCAGCAGUGGGGGAUAUUGCACAAUGGGGGGAACCCUGAUGCAGCGACGCCGCGUGGGUGAAGGAGCGUUUCGGCGCGUAAAGCCCUAUCGGCAGGGAAGAAGGAGGACGGUACCUGACUAAGAAGCCCCGGCUAACUACGUGCCAGCAGCCGCGGUAAUACGUAGGGGGCAAGCGUUAUCCGGAUUUACUGGGUGUAAAGGGAGCGCAGGCGGCGCGCCAAGUCUGAUGUGAAGCCCCGGGGCUCAACCCCGGGCAUGCAUUGGAAACUGGCGGGCUGGAGUGCCGGAGAGGUAAGCGGAAUUCCUAGUGUAGCGGUGAAAUGCGUAGAUAUUAGGAGGAACACCAGUGGCGAAGGCGGCUUACUGGACGGCAACUGACGCUGAGGCUCGAAAGCGUGGGGAGCAAACAGGAUUAGAUACCCGUGUAAAC
rnacentral:rRNA from 1 species